AGAGAAAAUGUAUACAAAUGAACUUAAGGAAAUGAUUGCUAUACAAUCCCUUAUAUAGCCAUAUUUCCCAAUUACAAUAAUACCCUUCUAACUAUAUUUCUGUUAUAUCAGUUAUUACUCCCCCCUCAAACUAAACUUGGAGUAUCCAAGUGAAGUUUGAACUAGCCAGGUAUUUGAGACUGAUCUGGAAUUGCGAGAGCAAAAUAUCUGCCAUGCUUCAAGAAUUAAGCUACUGCAAACAAGAAAGCACCCACUGACACUGUUGUAACUACUGACCAAACCGAUGCUCACCCCAUUAUCAUUACACAAGACUACAACUUUUGCCGUUGGUGAAGCCAUGAUGAAAGCCAUAAGUACAAUCCAGCUUUAUCUUUAACAUACCCAACAAAUUUUCGACAAUGAACUGAGAAGCCAUACUAACACACUCAUUGUAUAUGCAAAUUAUCCAACCUAAAUCUUUAUAGCUUUACAGAGACUGGCACCAAAUCAACCAAGGAGAAUAACACUCCAAGAAACCAAAUCUACCAAGGAGAAUGACACUCCAAGAAACCAAAUCUACCAAGGAGAAUGACACUCUAAGAAACCAAAUCUACCAAGGAGAAUGACACUCCAAGAAACCAAAUCAACCAAGGAGAAUGACACUCCAAGAAACCCAAACUAACUAAGGAGAAUGACACUCCAAUAAACCAAAUCAACCAAGGAGAAUGACACUCCAAGAAACCAAAUCCAAAACAUAUAAUCCAAAUCAACAAUGGCAAGAAACACAAAGCAUCAUACAGUGAGAGAACUCGAACCCCCAAAUGGGUUUGGAGAGAUCAAGUUCAAGAAUCUAAUCAACGUCACAAUUCAGCAACAUAAUGCAGGAAAAGUAGAAAACCCAUCAAAAAAUCUCAACGCAGAAUAGCUUAAAAUGUCAACAGUCUCACCGGCAGUCACCAAACAGUUCGAUCUCGACCCAGAUGAACAGACCCUGCAAUGGAAAUGCAGAUGGGCGACAAAAACCCUAAGCAGAUUGGUAGGUCGCAGAGCAGAAGAGCAUAAGAAAGAACCAAAUUUCCAGAUCACUGAUCUCCUUGAGGCAUUUAGUUUCAUUCAGACAUUUUCACAAACACCAUAUAUGCAUAAAGAAUAUGACAGAUACAAGAAACAACCUGACAAAGUCCAAUAUCCCAUUGUCCAAUCAGCAACACAUAAGAGAAAUUCCGAACAGAACCCAAACGUCGGCUUAUCCUGGAGCUGGAUAAAGUUUAGCAAAAUCGCAAAGGAAGCAACAAAAUUCGAACAAUCGAUAGAAAGAAGAAGAAGAUGGGGACGUCACUAUGCCCAUUCGUGAAGGCCGGUCUGCCAUCAGAGCCAAGCAAGAAAGAGGUCCCACCCUGCUAAGCAGCAACAGCCAACCGCGCUGGGAGCUCUCUUCAAGGAAAAGUCUCAAUCUGCCAACGAUGUUUGGAGGAAACUCCUCUCUGAUCCUUUGCUUAUGAUUGGGGGUAUGGAUUUUAUUGACAACUAAUAUACCCUCUGAUGUCAACUAAUCCAUAUGAUUAUUUUCACCCAACAACUUUGCAGUAUUUACCUAGAUGAGCAACACGCAUACUCAUAUCUCAUCAGCAAGAGAACAUGAAGAAGAAGCAGUGAAUCAACGGUGCAAAGAAAUCAAACUCUGCUCUCAGUCGCAGAAACCUGAACCAGAGUGGACCCGAGCCAUUGAAGACCUUGAUGAAAAUAUGAAAAAUUCCCAAUUCAAGAACCAAAAAUCUCGAACCAUGACUGCCAAGGUUCUCUCGCAGCCUAACAGCGUCGUUGCAAACGGCGAACAGAACGGAGCACAGAAAGUCAACACAAGAACAAUCGCUGAAUCUAAUGGAAAUUUGAAGAGAAACUAAACUAGGAAGAAAAAAAAAAAGUAAACUACUACGAAGAUAAACCACCAGAAUCUAUGGCGUGAGCCUGAUGGCUUUGAUACCAUAUUAACUACAUUGCAAAAGAUAAAGAUUGGUACAGAGGAAGAGAAAGAAUUGAUAGAGAGCAACAAAAGAGAUUGUAUUGAUUGAUUAGAGAAAAU
rnacentral:lncRNA from 1 species